rnacentral:rRNA from 1 species
UAGUCCACGCUGUAAACGAUGUCUACUAGCUGUUUGUGGUCUUGUACCGUGAGUAGCGCAGCUAACGCACUAAGUAGACCGCCUGGGGAGUACGGCCGCAAGGUUAAAACUCAAAUGAAUUGACGGGGGCCCGCACAAGCGGUGGAGCAUGUGGUUUAAUUCGAUGCAACGCGAAGAACCUUACCAUCCCUUGACAUCCAGAGAAUCUGUUAGAGAUAGUAGAGUGCCUUCGGGAACUCUGAGACAGGUGCUGCAUGGCUGUCGUCAGCUCGUGUCGUGAGAUGUUGGGUUAAGUCCCGCAACGAGCGCAACCCUUAUCCUUAGUUGCCAGCACGUAAUGGUGGGAACUCUAAGGAGACUGCCGGUGAUAAACCGGAGGAAGGUGGGGGACGACGUCAAGUCAUCAUGGGCCCUUACGGGGAUGGGGCUACACACGUGCUACAAUGGCGCAUACAAAGGGGCAGCGAACCUGCGAGGGGUAAGCGGAAUCUCAUAAAGUG